rnacentral:rRNA from 1 species
GCAGAGGAUGCUUUUGGCAAGGUGCCUUCCGAGUUCCCUGGAACGGGACGCCAUAGAGGGUGAGAGCCCCGUCUGGUCGGACACCGAGCCUCUGUAAAGCUCCUUCGACGAGUCGAGUAGUUUGGGAAUGCUGCUCAAAAUGGGAGGUAUAUGUCUUCUAAAGCUAAAUACCGGCCAGAGACCGAUAGCGCACAAGUAGAGUGAUCGAAAGAUGAAAAGCACUUUGAAAAGAGAGUUAAAUANCACGUGAAAUUGUUGAAAGGGAAGCGUUUAUGACCAGACUUGGCCCGGUUGAUCAUCCGCCCUUCUGGGUGGUGCACUCUGCCGGUCCAGGCCAGCAUCAGUUCGCUCCGGGGGAUAAAGGUUUCGGGAAUGUAGCUCCUCCGGGAGUGUUAUAGCCCGUUGCGUAAUACCCUGNGGUGGACUGAGGUCCGCGCUCUGCAAGGAUGCUGGCGUAAUGGUCAUCAACGACCCGUCUU